rnacentral:rRNA from 1 species
UGGGGAAUAUUGCACAAUGGGCGCAAGCCUGAUGCAGCCAUGCCGCGUGUAUGAAGAAGGCCUUCGGGUUGUAAAGUACUUUCAGCGGGGAGGAAGGGAGUAAAGUUAAUACCUUUACUCAUUGACGUUACCCGCAGAAGAAGCACCGGCUAACUCCGUGCCAGCAGCCGCGGUAAUACGGAGGGUGCAAGCGUUAAUCGGAAUUACUGGGCGUAAAGCGCACGCAGGCGGUUUGUUAAGUCAGAUGUGAAAUCCCCGGGCUCAAGCCUGGGAACUGGCAUCUGAUACUGGCAAGCUUGAGUCUCGUAGAGGGGGUUAGAAUUCCAGGUGGUAGCGGUGAAAUGCGUAGAUAUUAGGAGGAACACCAGUGGCGAAGGCGGCUUACUGGACGGUAACUGACGUUGAGGCUCGAAAGCGUGGGGGAGCAAACAGGAUUAGAUACC